AGCAGCCGCGGUAAUUCCAGCUCCAAUAGCGUAUAUUAAAGUUGUUGCAGUUAAAAAGCUCGUAGUUGAAUUUCGGGAUCAAUACGUCGGUCGUGCUUCGGUACGUACUGGCGUAAUUGAUUUCUCCCUUCUGACGAACCAUGAUGUCAUUAACUUGGUGUCAUGGGAAAUCAGGACUGUUACUUUGAAAAAAUUAGAGUGUUUAAAGCAGGCUCACGCUUGAAUACAUUAGCAUGGAAUAAUGAAAUAGGACGUUCGAUCCUAUUUUGUUGGUUUUUAGGAUCAACGUAAUGAUUAAUAGGGAUAGUUGGGGGCAUUAGUAUUCAAUUGUCAGAGGUGAAAUUCUUGGAUUUAUUGAAGACUAACUACUGCGAAAGCAUUUGCCAAGGAUGUUUUCAUUAAUCAAGAACGAAAGUUAGGGGAUCGAAGACGAUCAGAUACCGUCGUAGUCUUAACCAUAAACUAUGCCGACUAGGGAUCGGAUGAUGUUAAUUUUUUAAUUGUACUCAUUCGGCGUCCU
rnacentral:rRNA from 1 species